CGAGGUUUACUCAGUCUUCAACGGGAGAAAAAUAUACUAAACUCCUCUUUAAAAACAACCUCCUUCACCCACCACACGCGACAGUCAACGCAAACACUCCUUCCACCCACUGACACACAAAAUACAGUGCUGGGUUGCCACAAGGAAGGCGUGGACGAGCUGCAUGCACACUGGCUUCGGUGGACACGUGCCGCCUCUUGCCGUCUCACCCUCUGUAACAGUUAUUAGGCUGAACUCUUCCGUUACUAUUUUAAGCAUCACUUGAGGAGAGGACGUCUGCACGCAAGCCUUGGGAAUGGCACACUGACUGAGAACAGCAGCGAUGACACCCUAGUACAGUUUCCGCACUAUCUCUCAAUUGUCAUCAGAUCAGAUAUAGAUACGAGUGGUCAGUGGCUCCCCUAUAGACAAUGAGAUCGGUGGUCCUUCAGUCACACAAAUGCCAUGCGCUGCUCACGAUGGAGUACGCAUGAUUUGUAUUGCGUGACAACAAUAAACUUAUCAAUCCAUCAAUCAAUGUUUACGAGCAUGUUAAGGAGGUUUGCUUUGACAAUGGUAAUACUUUUCUCUGAGUUUGAAUAUAUUCCUAUGUAGCAUUUCUUACUUGAAAGGAACAACCACAUCUAUAUACUCGUAGAAGUCGAAUUAGUUUUUAGCGAUAUCUUUAAGAGCAUGUUCUGAGGCUUCACACUGACAUUGGUAAUACUUUUCUCAUAGCUUAAAAUUAAUAUAUUCCACAAUAGCAUUUCUUAUUUAAAAGGAACAGCAAUUUUUAUACACUCGUAUAAGUCGAGGUAUUUUGAACGAUUUCUUAUGAAGGUCGAGUUUAGGAGAUCCACUUUGUCACGUACUACUUUUCUCGGAGCUUAUACAUAUAUUUCAAUCGUACUUUUACACGAGAUUAACUUUAUCCACGAGUCUAUGGGGAUAAUGAUCGGUUUUCUAGAGUUGGCGGACACUGAGUAACGGCGAGACGAACACUGACAGGCUGACACAAAUCCCCUCGUCACGUCUUGAUGCCUUUCACGUCUCGCAGUAUAGAGGUUUCGUUUCCCCUCUGCGUGGAUGAGGCGAGUGGCGGGACUGGUGGGACGAGCCAUCGACAGUGAACAACCAGUAAAGGCCAGUUAUCUCGAGGGUACAUGACCGCUCUCUCUCUCUCUCUCUCUCUCUCUCUCUGACACACACAUACGUUUAUCAUAUCAUAUUACUUGUUUAUAUUUCGAUCUUAAAUUCAUGAUACGUCAUCACCUAACACACACACACACACACACACACACACACACACACACACACACACACACACACAAAGCACCAAAAGGAGGGGUUACCAUCUUAAAUUUUGAUCUGAAGGAAACAAAACGCGAAUUUUAGCGUGCAAUAAAGUGGUAUACCCCUUCAAACAUCUAGCCAUAAAUAGGACAAAGAAAAAACACUGACAUCUUCCAAAUCAUAGUUAACGUAAAUAGCACACACACACAUAUAUACACACAAAAAAAAAAGAAAUACUGUCAGUCGUGAAACCAUCAAUUACAUUUCACUUUCAGCUCGACACAAGUUCAGAGUAACGACUUCGAUGUAGCAGAGAAUGACAGGAUGAUGUACAGUAGACAUAAGGUGUUGAGGGUACGCAGUGGUCGUGAGGGGGAGUGCACAGUUGCAAGAUGAUCAGUAUUAAUCAAUGUUAAGCUUCCCCUGAAAAUAAAAUGCAGAUACUCGUUGCAGCGCUUAGUGGUUUUUUUUUUCUUCCGUGUCGCUGAGCUGUAAAAAAAAUAUUAAGACAAAAAAAUAAGGAAACAGCAUAUAGGAGGUCAUUUAGCUUACACAUGGUCGUUCCUAAGAACCCCAUCCAUUAAUAUAUUUAACAUUUAAUUGAACCUCAGUGGCAUUUCUAUUAAGUAAACAUACACAUAAACAGGGCGACAUGCAGCAAAAAUUGUGGUGAUGGUUAAUGAUGUUUAUUUCAGAAUAGUACAUGAAGGAAAAGGGGGGUGACACUACAACAGGCUUUCGGGUUUUACAUCUCACAGAAAAGUGGAAAAAUAUACAAAUACUGGGCAGGGAAUGUCGGCCAGUAUGGACAGACCAGCUCGGAGUAACUAGAACAUCGAUAUUGUUAUUAUACUAUUAUUAUUAUGAACGUGUUCGCUACCUCAGACGGCCGAAAGGGAGAGCUGAGAAACGUAAGAAACGGAUCUCGGUGGAUAUGUAGUGACAGGCAGAUACUCCAGACACAGUUCAAUAUCUGUCGUGUUUUCCUCUUAUGCAGUUUUUAGGUAAGAAAAAAAUCCAUGGAAAUCAAAACACUUAGUUGACUUUAUUCUAUUUACCUUUAUGGUAGUUUUUAGGUAGAACAGAAAUCUGAUACUUGUGAGAAUUAAAGGUUAGUGAAGCUGAACAAGUUUUCUCUUUUCUUAUGGAAGAAUUGAGGCAGGAGAAAAAUUCAUCAAGAGAAGAGAAUAGGGUUUAAAUUUGUUUUCCAGUUAUGUAGUCUUUAGGGAGGAGAGAAAUUUGACAAUAGAAGAGAAUAAAGGCUCAUUUUGUCUUACGUUUUUGUAGUCUUUAGGCAGGUAAGAAGGCUGGUGUAAGGAUAGUGAAGGUUCAUAUUGUUUUCCUCUUAUGCCGGAGAGAAGGCUGGUGUAGGAAUAGUGAAGGUUCAUAUUGUUUUCCUCUUAUGCCGGAGAGAAGGCUGGUGUAGGAAUAGUAAAGGUUCGUGGCGGCGUGUACCGAGUCGUAGCGAACACUGGACAUUAUAUAAAAGUACAAACAAGGAGCCCUGCGGAGGAAGGUUCCCGCUCCUGAGCCUCCGGUGGGACACUCGAAGUCAGGCGUGGACGGACCCCAAGCCUCCCGUCACUCCCUGCGUGCGAAUACUUGACCUUUUUUUGUGGGUUUUGUUUUUUAUUAAGUACCAAUGAAAGCUGGAUUCAGUUUGAGUCACCGCCAGGGGAGAGCAGUGGCACCUAUAGUUAAUGAUAUAAUAAAUAAUUAAUUACCACAGACAGCUUCAUGGCGUGCUACUGACGGAGGCGACA